UCUCCGUAGGUGAACCUGCGGAGGGAUCAUUACAGAGUUCUCGCCCUCGCGGGUAGAUCUCCCACCCACUGUUAUCGUUACUGUGUUGCUUUGGCGGGCCGCCGGGCCCCGCUCGGCCGCCGGCUCCGGCUGGCGCGCGCCCGCCAAAGGCCCAGCAAACUCUGAAUGUUAGUGUCGUCUGAGUACUAUAUAAUAGUUAAAACUUUCAACAACGGAUCUCUUGGCUCUC
rnacentral:misc_RNA from 1 species